rnacentral:lncRNA from 1 species
CAUCAAUCCACCAUUGACAACCUUUCUUUCUUUCUCUCUAUAGGUGUACUAUGAAAAUCCCACCGCGUGUGGUUUGUUCUUUUGAUAUGAUCAUAUGGUACUGGGACUGAAUGGAUAACUAGAAGCCCAAAAAAAGUGGUGCAGAGAGAGAGAGAGAGAGACGGGGGGGGGGGGGGGGGGGAAGUGGUCUCAUAAAGUCUUCUAUCUUUCAACACUGCAACUGGCAAUUGAUUAAAAGCUAGGUUCUUGAAGCGUCCACCGCUGAAAAUACCAUUUUCAGUUCGAUUUAUUGGUUAAACAUGCCACCAACUCGUUAAACCAUCCACUACCACGAUCGAAUCCUCCAUUAUUUAUAGUUGCAUUGCUUAUAACUUUCUUAUUCAUAAACUGCAGCAUGAAAGAGAUGAUUAUUAGAACUACCAGCCUUGGAAUGGUGAAGGCAAGAAGGAUAGAUGCGACAGCUUUCUUCAUUAUUCUGUGUGUGUUUGGGUUUGUGGGGGUGGGCUAGGCUUGGUGAUUUCACAGAUAAACAGUGACCAAAAACCCUAAUUUUCUAUUUCUGUGAUUUUCUUAAGAGGGUACAAGGGGGGAUUUGAACGUUCUUUCCAAAAAUAGGUUUGUCUUUAGUUUACAGAUCUCACUCCUGUAGGCUGUAGCCUUUAAUGUUUAUGACAAAAGCAAAUCUAUGAACCGUUGGAUAAAGAUAUUUUGGUCAAGAGCUGGAGUUAUGUGGUUAAGUCUGUCUCUGUGUGUGAGAGAGAGAGAGAGAGAGAGAGAGUCAUACUGACAGAAGAGAGUGAGCAUAAGCAGGCAAUUGUAUGGAGAGUAUACAUUUGUGGAUGCGUGUGCUCACUUCUCUUUCUGUCAGCUUAAUUCCCUCUCUUCCUUUCUCGUUUAUGGCUUUUGCUUUUACAUCCCCAACCCCGACGUGUUCGUUCGACUCGCAGGGAUCGAGUCUACACACUAACCCAAGACCUAAAAUUGCUUGCUUUAUUGAAAACUGAAAAGUAAAGCAAGAUGAACAGAAGUGACGGGGCUGCAAUUUCAAGAAGAUGAAGGGACUCGCAAAGAAAGCCAGCCACUUAAAAAAUGACUAUUCAAAGCUAUUCAACCACUACAGCCACACAUAUGCAGCCAUAAAUGCUCCUACCAGCUCAGGCUUCACUGUGUAUCCCAUUAUCCUAUCCUGAUAGGUCACCUGUACAAAUAAACACAAUUUUCUGUUUUACUUUCUUGGUGGAAAAAAUUGACCACUUUCUUCCAGCAGGAGAGGUUCAACCACUUUAGUUUUUGGCAUUUUCUUGAUGUGAUUUUGUUUAUCCACUUAAUUUUUAGCAUUUCUUUGAUCUUAUCCAUCAUAGUGUGAUGGAGAUUGGAAGCUCUCGAAUUUUGAUGUCUCUUCUGAAGAGAAUGAAGUGGGUUUGGAAAGGACCGUAAGGUACUAUUUUGAUUUAACGGAAAAACUUUGUGUUUUCUUGGGGCCAUCAGGCGAUUAAAAUAUAUUUAACCUAAUAUUAUACUGUUUAUCUUGCCAUUUCCUUCCACUAUCUGCAACAAAAAUACAGUGAUUUUGCUGAAAUCUUUCAUAUUCCCUCUGCCUCAACUAAACUCUAGAUCCAACCGGCUGGACCUUUUUCCUUUGUAACUAGCAAAGAAAGGGUCUUGAUCCCGUGAAUUACUUCUGAAGAAUUUAGGAAUCAUCAAAUUUUGUUUCUAAGUGCAAAAACUUGGGUUUUUAUUUCUUCGUGGUCUGAUGUAAAAGUAUGUGGUUCUUUCUAUCCUAUUUCUGGCAGAAAAUUUGAUUCUUUUAUUUAUAUUUUAUGUGAUAUUCUUAAUUUCUUAGACAAUUAACGCAGUUUUAAUUCUAUUUCUAGAUCUUGAACAUCGUAUGGUAAUGUUUACUUUCUAUUGAGUGCAAGGAACUUUGGGUGCUACCUGAACGUGGGAAGGCUUUUGGUUUUCUUCAGCGGGAAGAUACCCAGAGAAUCAUGGGCAUAUGGAGAAGAAAGGGAAUUUUCCAUGUACAGGUUUGGGACUUGCAUCAGUACUAUCUUUAUGAUGAUUUAUAUUUAUCCCUUUUUUAUAAAGUCCUUUGUCGAUUAGUUGUUAAUAUUGCUAUAUAAGCACACGAUAGUGUAAUUCUGUGACAACAGUUACUCCUACUUGCCACAAGAAAUUUGUAGCUUCAAUUGCAGAAAUUAACUUGAUCCAUUCUUAGUUUUCAUGUCAUUGUAUAUUUUCAGAUUCUUGUGAUAUUGUUGAAUUGUGUUUAAUUAUCUCUUGUUUCGGGGCAAAUUAAAUGUUUUUGCUCUAUGAUUUUAACUUAAUUAGGAUAUUUGAAUGUAUAAUUACCUCAUAUAUUGAAGAGUUA